rnacentral:rRNA from 1 species
AUUGAACGCUGGCGGAAUGCUUUACACAUGCAAGUCGAACGGCAGCAUAGGUGCUUGCACCUGAUGGCGAGUGGCGAACGGGUGAGUAAUAUAUCGGAACGUGCCCAGUCGUGGGGGAUAACGUAGCGAAAGCUACGCUAAUACCGCAUACGAUCUACGGAUGAAAGCGGGGGACCUUCGGGCCUCGCGCGAUUGGAGCGGCCGAUAUCAGAUUAGGUAGUUGGUGGGGUACAGGCUCACCAAGCCAACGAUCUGUAGCUGGUCUGAGAGGACGACCAGCCACACUGGGACUGAGACACGGCCCAGACGCCUACGGGAGGCAGCAGUGGGGAAUUUUGGACAAUGGACGCAAGUCUGAUCCAGCCAUUCCGCGUGCAGGACGAAGGCCUUCGGGUUGUAAACUGCUUUUGUACAGAACGAAAAGGUUUCUACUAAUACUAGGGGCUCAUGACGGUACUGUAAGAAUAAGCACCGGCUAACUACGUGCCAGCCGCCGCCGUAA